CAGGAGUAGAAGUUCAGUAAUGAAUGUAGCGUACUGGUACUAAUAUGUCGAGAGCUUAACUUA
rnacentral:rRNA from 1 species